rnacentral:snRNA from 1 species
GUGCUUGCAGCAGCACAUAUACUAAAAAUGGAAUGACACAGAGAAGAUUAGCAUGGCCCCUGUGUAAGGAUGACAUGCAAAUUCGUGACGUGUUCCAUAUUUUU